UACGUAGGGGGCAAGCGUUGUCCGGAAUUAUUGGGCGUAAAGCGCGCGCAGGCGGUGAUUUAAGUUUGGUGUCUAAGGCUGGGGCUCAACCCCGGCACGCACUGAAAACUGGGUGACUGGAGUGCGGGAGAGGAAAGUGGAAUUCCACGUGUAGCGGUGAAAUGCGUAGAGAUGUGGAGGAACACCAGUGGCGAAGGCGACUUUCUGGACCGUAACUGACGCUGAGGCGCGAAAGCGUGGGGAGCAAACAGG
rnacentral:rRNA from 1 species